GCUGGCGGCGGGAGGGAUGCAGACGGAGCCGCCCGGCCACCCCGAGCUGUCCGCGGGCUCUGUCACGCAGAGGCAGGACGCGGGAGGACCACGCAGGCCUCCCCAUGGGAUCCACGUGUCCAGCUCUGCAACGAGCAGCUCCUGGAGCAGGACAGCAGCAGCCGUUCUGGGAAGAGGACAUGAAGACCCACAAUUCCAUCAUGUCCGUCUAGCUCUGUGGUCCACGAUCCAUGAAUAAGAAUUCUACCUGAAGGAGUACCUCCGGCCAGCACCCUCUCCCUAGUGCUUCAGAGUGGAGAUGGAGGCGUCGCUGGAAUGUGAAAAUCCUUGCUG